UGGGGAAUAUUGCACAAUGGGCGCAAGCCUGAUGCAGCCAUGCCGCGUGUAUGAAGAAGGCCUUCGGGUUGUAAAGUACUUUCAGUCGGGAGGAAGGUGGUAAGGUUAAUAACCUUGGCAAUUGACGUUACCGACAGAAGAAGCACCGGCUAACUCCGUGCCAGCAGCCGCGGUAAUACGGAGGGUGCAAGCGUUAAUCGGAAUUACUGGGCGUAAAGCGCACGCAGGCGGUUGAUUGAGUCAGAUGUGAAAUCCCCGGGCUUAACCCGGGAAUUGCAUCUGAUACUGGUCAGCUAGAGUCUUGUAGAGGGGGGUAGAAUUCCAUGUGUAGCGGUGAAAUGCGUAGAGAUGUGGAGGAAUGCCGGUGGCGAAGGCGGCCCCCUGGACAAAGACUGACGCUCAGGUGCGAAAGCGUGGGGAGCAAACAGG
rnacentral:rRNA from 1 species